rnacentral:rRNA from 1 species
CGUCAAAUCAGCACGGCCCUUACGUCCGGGGCGACACACGUGUUACAAUGGAUGGUACAGAGGGUCGCUACCCCGCGAGGGGAUGCCAAUCUCGAAAGCCAUUCUCAGUUCGGAUCGGAGGCUGAAACUCGCCUCCGUGAAGUUGGAUUCGCUAGUAAUCGCGCAUCAGCCAUGGCGCGGUGAAUACGUUCCCGGGCCUU